AACACGGGUUAAGUUUGAUACCAUUUCAUAUAAAAAAAAAAAAUAAUAUAUUCGCGGCAUUAUUCCAACACACUUUGCAUUGAAUACCGGUUAAAAAAAAUUUAUUUGGAAUAUACAUUUUACAUAUGUGUAUUAUUAGGAAUUACCGUCCGAAAUAUUAUUACUGCUUAAUCCUACACAGCAAGGUCGACCGGUGCUAGCAGUGUACUUUUAAAUUUAAUUUAAGAUGUUUCCGGCCCUCCCCAUAACAAUUUUUCGCAUUCUAUACACACAAAUCAGUAGCUAUAUAAAUAAUACAUCUAUGACUAAAAUCCAUUAUAACCCACACUUGUUAAGCAUUUCUUGAAGUUUUUAGUAAAUUGGCUUUUCAUGUACACAUGUAUUUAAAAUUGGCAUACCACUAUGUCUACAAGCAGUUCAGUUCAUCUCAUCUCGCCACCUACACAUUUCGAGAUAUCUCCGGUAAUUUAACGCGACAAAUCAAUCGAAAAUUCUUUCACAAACUGAUUUUUAAAUAACGAAAGUGCGUGAAAAGAGCUAUGAAUAGGGAGAAAAUGCAAAUAAGGCUGAUCAAGUCGUUCUUGAAAUGUUAAAAAAUAUACCUCCGUAAAUACAUAUGUAUACAUGUAUGUAUGUAUAACUAUGAAUACACUUUUGUAUGUAGGUAGAUGUAAUAAAAAAAAAUGUUUGCCACAUUGAUAGGCUCUUACUUCGACAUCAGUAACCACCAAAAUGAGAGAUACAUUAAUGAAAUGGUUACCUUUCUCACAACACUUCCACUUUACUAAUCAGAGCUUGAAAACACGUUUAUUGAACUUGCUUGGCAUUCAAAGGCAAAUUUAAUCACCAACCACAAAUUUGAAAAUGAAGGUGAUAGUUUCCACCAACGCUGUCUGUCAAUGAUUCAAUUCUCUUCAUAUUCUUGCUUAUUUCCAUUAUCUGCGCGCACGUACCUGCAUAUGUAUACAUGUAUGUAUGUUGUACACACAUUCAAGCAACAUUAAAAAGACCGCAUUAAAAACCACUUUGUGAAAUGUAUUGGUAAGAAAUGUUGCACAGCAGAAAUGAGAAAAUUCCCAUUUCGUCAGUCCCGAAGACCAACAGAUUCCUAACGAGAAGCAUCAACACUGGAACUACAUUAAACAAAAGUGUUACAAUAAUCGACGCACUCGCUCGCUCUCUUAUGGCACAAUGUGAUCCUAUACAUUUCAACAUCGUCCCAUUGCAUUCGCACGCAUCGGUCCAUGAAUGCAUUUGCGCCAAAAAGAAAAAAAAAAAGUCCAUAUCCAAAUCCAAAGACGUCAACCAAGAUGUGCUGGAGAACACCACAAUCAUUAAAUAAGUUCUUUCUUUUGAUGGAAUAUUGGGUAAUUAUUUAGAACAGCGGCUUUUGCUAAAACUGUCCAAAAAUGAUGGGGUUUUUGGCUAAAUAGAUGUAUUUGAUGAUUAUCUUUUCAUUAA